UACUGCCAGCAGCCGCGGUAAUACGUAGGCGCAAGCGUUAUCCGGAAUUAUUGGGCGUAAAGAGCUCGUAGGCGGUUUGUCGCGUCUGCUGUGAAACCCCGAGGCUCAACCUCGGGCCUGCAGUGGGUACGGGCAGACUAGAGUGCGGUAGAGGAGAUUGGAAUUCCUGGUGUAGCGGUGGAAUGCGCAGAUAUCAGGAGGAACACCGAUGGCGAAGGCAGAUCUCUGGGCCGUAACUGACGCUGAGGAGCGAAAGGGUGGGGAGCAAACAGGCUUAGAUACCCUGGUAGUCCACCCCGUAAACGUUGGGAACUAGUUGUGGGGUCCAUUCCACGGAUUCCGUGACGCAGCUAACGCAUUAAGUUCCCCGCCUGGGGAGUACGGCCGCAAGGCUAAAACUCAAAGGAAUUGACGGGGACCCGCACAAGCGGCGGAGCAUGCGGAUUAAUUCGAUGCAACGCGAAGAACCUUACCAAGGCUUGACAUAUACGAGAACGGGCCAGAAAUGGUCAACUCUUUGGACACUCGUAAACAGGUGGUGCAUGGUUGUCGUCAGCUCGUGUCGUGAGAUGUUGGGUUAAGUCCCGCAACGAGCGCAACCCUCGUUCUAUGUUGCCAGCACGUAAUGGUGGGAACUCAUGGAAUACUGCCGGGGUCAACUCGGAGGAAGGUGGGGAUGACGUCAAAUCAUCAUGCCCCUUAUGUCUUGGGCUUCACGCAUGCUACAAUGGCCGGUACAAUGGGCUGCAAUACCGCAAGG
rnacentral:rRNA from 1 species